rnacentral:tRNA from 1 species
UCCCGGUGGCUCAGACAGUGAAGAGCCUGCUUGCAAUGCAGGAGACCUGGGUUCGACCCCUGGAUUGGGAA